CAGCCGCCGCGGUAAUACGGAGGAUCCAAGCGUUAUCCGGAAUCAUUGGGUUUAAAGGGUCCGUAGGCGGUCUUGUAAGUCAGUGGUGAAAGCCCAUCGCUCAACGGUGGAACGGCCAUUGAUACUGCAGGACUUGAAUUAUUGGGAAGUAACUAGAAUAUGUAGUGUAGCGGUGAAAUGCUUAGAGAUUACAUGGAAUACCAAUUGCGAAGGCAGGUUACUACCAAUUGAUUGACGCUGAUGGACGAAAGCGUGGGUAGCGAACAGGAUUAGAUACCCCCGUAGUCCCUGUCUCUUAUAA
rnacentral:rRNA from 1 species